AUAAUGAUAUACUAUGAAUAUAUGGUCGUUAUUUUGGUGUAUAGACUUCACUGAGUGAGAGCUAGCAUCGCCGUGCUUUUGGUCUCUUCACAGGCUUGAUGUACAGCUCGUAUCUCUCUGUGGGGAAACGUGGAUGGGAUGAGAGGAAUGGGCUGGUGGUUUAUUGCUCCUUAGGUUACGUUAGCAGCCCCAGCCAGUUGUUGCAUCUUUGUGCUGAGUUUAACACUUUGCAAAACGAGGAAAAAAUGACUGCAGAAUAAAGUAAGAAAACAGAGUACCGCUGCGUUAGGAAUUUCGAGGGAAGUUACAGCCUC